rnacentral:rRNA from 1 species
CCUACGGGUGGCAGCAGUGGGGAAUAUUGGGCAAUGGGCGCAAGCCUGACCCAGCAACGCCGCGUGCAGGAAGACGGCUUUCUGGUUGUAAACUUCUUUUGUCAGGGAAGAGUAGAAGACGGUACCUGACGAAUAAGCCACGGCGAACUACGUGCCAGCAGCCGCGGUAAUACGUAGGUGGCAAGCGUUGUCCGGAUUUACUGGGUGUAAAGGGCUUGUAGUCGGGUGGACAAGUCAGAUGUGAAAUCCUGCGGCUUAACCGCAGAACUGCCUUUGAAACUGUUGAUCUAGAGUACUGGAGAGGCAGACGGAAUUCCUGGUGUAGCGGUGAAAUGCGUAGAUAUUAGGAGGAACCCCAGUGGCGAAGGCGGUCUGCUGGACAGCAAGUGACGGUGAGGCGCGAAAGCGUGGGGAGCAAACAGGAUUAGAUACCCGAGUAGUC